rnacentral:rRNA from 1 species
UACGUAGGGGGCAAGCGUUGUCCGGAUUUAUUGGGCGUAAAGAGCGUGUAGGCGGCCAUACAGGUCCGUUGUGAAAACUGGAGGCUUAACCUCCAGACGUCGAUGGAAACCGUAUGGCUAGAGUCCGGAAGAGGAGAGUGGAAUUCCUGGUGUAGCGGUGAAAUGCGCAGAUAUCAGGAAGAACACCAGUGGCGAAGGCGGGUCUCUGGGACGGUACUGACGCUGAGACGCGAAAGCGUGGGGAGCGAACAGG